rnacentral:rRNA from 1 species
GACGAACGCUGGCGGCAUGCCUAACACAUGCAAGUCGAACGAACGCAUCGGGCUUUUUCUCGCACGGGUUUGGCACCCGUGGGAAUCUUCCCUUGUGUUCGGCCUACCUGUUAGACAUGGCUGCUAACACCGGAUGAUAGCUCAUGACCAAAGAUAUAUCGGCGAAGGAUGGGCCCGCGUAGGAUUAGCUAGUUGGUGGAGUAAAGGCCUACUAAGGCGACGAUCCGUAGCUGGGCAGAGAGGAUGAUCAGCAACACUGGGAGUGAGACACGACCCAGAAUCCUACGGGAGGGAGCAGUGGGGUAUAUUGGAAAAUGGGCGAGAGUCAGAAAGAGCAAUGCCGCGUAAGUGAUGAAGACCUGAGGGUUAUAAAGCUCUAUUACACGAGAUGAUAAUGAACGGAACGGAAGAAUAAGCCCCGGCUAAAUCCGGG